rnacentral:misc_RNA from 1 species
AGUUGAGUUGAGUUGAGUAUGGUUAUGGUACAUAAGUCAAUAAGUACAUUUUGUGCACAAAAGAGGGGAAAAAAAUCUAUCGUCUUCUCAUUCAUUGUGAAGAGGCACCAGUUUUAUGGGGCCUCAGAUCUGGCUUAAUCUUGCUCAAAGACUAAUUGAGUUCUUCCAUUUACGGGACAUGAAGGAUGGCAUAGUAAAACAAUUUCAUAGGUGCAGAAAAAGAUUUAGGGGAUGCUACAGCAUGUGGAUUUGGUAAGUUGAAGAAAAGAAAAAACACAAGGUUUGCGAUCAUUUCACAAAUCAAAAUCUAGGAACUAAAAAUGAUAGAUUCAUAUUGAAAGGAUGAGAAAUUUAUUGUGAUACAUUCAGAACUUGUGCACUGAAUGCACCGAGUCAUCACGGUCUUCACUAAAGGACCAAGAUUCUUAUCAACCACAGAUCGCUUCAUUUCAGUGAACCGGCCACGAUCAGAUCCAAAUGCCAUAGACUGAUCUUGAAGAUCACACUCUCCACCUUGAUCACAAAUUGGACAAUCCAAUGGAUGAUUCAUGAGCAAAAACUCCAUCACCCCUUCUCGUGCCUUCUUUGCCACAGGUGUGUCCGUCUUAAUCUUCAUCCCAGGAAGAGCAGGCAUGGCGCAAGACGCCACAGGCUUGGGGGACUUCUCAACUUCAACUAGGCACAUACGACAAUUGCCGGCGAUAGAGAGUCGGCAAUGAUAGCAGAAGCGAGGAAUGUCAACACCGGCAAUUUCACAGGCUUGCAAAACAGUCAUCCCCUUGGGGAUUUUGACGAGGUAGCCAUCGACAAAGAUCUCGAUCGCAUCAUCCGGGUUGGGGAAGUGAACCCGGGCACCAGCAACGGAAGUUCGAGGAAGAAGAUCUGGUGUGGGUUCAGGUGCAGCGGCGGCGGUGGAAGGUUCAGGGGAUUGAAGCUCGGGCUUGAUGACGAUGGACCGGAGGAGGAUGAGGUUUCUAGGGUUGGGGUGGGGUCUGAGUACUCUGGAAGCUAAUAACCCUAGCCCCAUUAGAAGAAGUGGCACUGUACUGGCAAUUGAAAAUUGAAGAGGCCUCUGUUAAGAAGAUCUACAGAGAAAUGCUUGAGCUUUUGAGCUCUGAGGGAGCGAAAGAGGAGAACAGAUGAAAUGCAGGCGUGUGGCCGCAUUACUCCCGCAAGGAUGGGGCUGUUUCGUGUCCGUUUUUACCCACCCGGUUUGUUGUGAA